AACUGAAAUAGAAUUACAAAAAUACAAGUAAUGUUUUAUCUUUAAGAUUAGUUUUUGUUUAGAAGAAUAAUUAAAUGACAUUUUAUACUGUUCGCAUUUUUACUAAUAGUUUGAUUUAAUUCAAAAAAAAGGAAAUUUACUCCGUUUUGUAGACGUGAUAACAAAUGUGACAGUCAAAUUUACAAUGUAAAAGGGAGAUUAUACUCACGUAAUAGAACAUCAAACCUCAACAAUUAUUUGUUUUAGUGAAGUUAAGUAUUUUAAUAACCAUUAUUUACAAGUGUUUAUUUAAUCAAUAUUGUGUGAUCACGUGUUUGGACACGACAAGACAAGCUUUUAAAAAAGCUAUACUAAGUUCUAAAACACAUAAAACUUUAUAUUCUUAUAUAUUAUCAACUGAGGCAACUUAAAGCGGAAUAAUGUGCAAAUGAUGAUUAAGAAAUUUACUUACAAUUUAUUCAAAAAUCGAUUUUUAUGCGAUUCUUACCCAUUUUGAGUACGGUUUUAAUUUGGAAAAAAGUACUUUACGAAUGAUAUAAAAUUUUGCACACAAGUUAUUUGUUCAGAUCUACAUCGAACACAUGAUACAUAUUUCUUGGAUAAAAAUGAACGCGACACAUAAUUAUGAAGUAAUGCUUCCGGGUAACGAAAAGACAAUGUUUGAUCUUCUUUGUUUUCAACGAUAGAUUUGGACGGGGAAAAACAAGAAAUGAUGGCCUCACGCGUUGAUCAAGAGAAACUAGUUCACUUCUUUUGGAUGGCAAGAUAAUGAUUCCGCAAAUCAGUACUUUCGAAUUUCACUAGAUGCUGGUCGCCCAGCGAUUGGCCAGAACGCGCUUAGUGGACAAGUCUUCAGCAGGCCUAACAUAAGGACCGAGAGAUAUAUAAGUAUUUUGCCAACUAACACAACUACCACAAUCUAUUAUGAUGCAAUGGGAACUGUGUGUCUUCAUAAAGCCCAGCACAAGAUUGUUACGUCCGGUCAGACAUUAAGCCAACAGAUAGAAUAUGACGUAUAUUAUUAUGGAUCACUUAUGCAGUUUGAGCAUUUGAGGGAAAUGUCGGUAUAAUAGUUGAAUGAUAUUUUAAAUGAAAUAUUUGUACCAGUAAAAUAUCAAAAUAUUCAUGGUUUACCUUAUUUUAUAAAGUGUAAUUCUAUUUAAUGAUCGGUGUUUGUACAAUAAUUAUAAUAAUGUAAUUUUAGCUACAUAUA